CGGGUUCAGGCGAUAGUGAUGGUUGCACAGGAAAGAUCGUCUGAGUAGCUGAGUAAGAGACUGCAGAGUCAUCCUAUGGAAGGGUUAGGACGCUGCGACAGACAGAAUUGUGACCUUGCAGGGACAUCAUAUUCUCCAGCCUCCCUUGCAGCGAGGCCAUGUGGGUGGCUAAGUUCUCACUGAUGGAAUAAGUUAUGUGUGCACCAUCUGGGUGAAGCUUUGAAGACAGUAGACUUAGCUCCUCCAUGCUCUCUUUUUUCCUUGUUUGCGAGCUGGUAUAUGGACUUACCUAAGACCCAAUCUACAGAUGGGGCAAAUGCCUUAGGGAUUAAUGGAGAAAUAAAAUGAAAGAAAUUUGGGUCUGUAGAUGGUUGCAUGAAGCAGAGUUGCAUGUUGAACCAAAACGAGAGAGAGAAAUAAACUUCUGUCUAUUUAAAAUAUUGCAUUUUGGACUUCUCACUUCUUUUUACUAAAGCUUAGACUUUUGUCAUAAUAAACACAGUAAUUGGUUCCAGAAGUGGGGUGUAGCCAUUAGACUAGAUGGCAUUUGAUUAACGGCUGGGUUGUGAGGACACGGAUAUUUCAGGCUGGAAAGCUGGGUAUCCUCCUUAGGCCAAGGCAAAACAUAUAAUCUUACAGAACUAGGAAGACAGUUAAAAUGGUAAUUGAACCUGAAUUUCUAGAUGAAGUGAUUAAAAAGUGGCAGAACAUGGUUGUGAGUUGGUUGCUUCCUGUUGCUUUUAGCAAAGUGUUAUAAGAAAGAUGUGGACUUAGUGGUCAAGAACUUGGCCAAUAUGCAAACAGAGAUGGAAGAAUCCACAGAUAAAAGUCCACAAAGAGUUGGAGAAGUCUUCUGACCCUGAUCUCUCCAACAGUGAGUGGUAAAUAAGGUUUUUCACUUAAGGUACUUGUUUCAAAUGUCCUCAGGCAGCCACCAUUAUCAUGGCAGAGAGACUUGGGUAAACUAAGGAAUAUAAAAAUCCGAUGUCUUCAGAAGAACUUUUGGUGUGGUUACUGACUGGGAGCAAAUACCUCACUAAGUGUUUCAGAGAAUUGUCUUGAAACCAUGAGCCCAGCCUGUGUGUCAGCCUUAAGGAAAUCCCUAAUUUGCACCACAGGAAUCAGGAACUGCAGAGUUCCCAAGCAGGGCACCCCCCUCAAAACUCACUCUAGAUGUGGUCAUGGAAGAUAAGUGGACAAGGAAGAAAAACCCAGAUAGAAAAACCAGUGAACAACAGACAAUGGUGUUUCCUGGAGAGAUCCACCAGAGUCUCACCAAAUGAUUUAUUCUACUUUACAAGCAGAGAGUUAAAAAAAAUCCUGCCCAGCAAGAUUUGAUCAUUACUCUGUGCUAGCAACUGGUAUAAUAUUGUGUAUUCAAUGAGGAGAGGGCCAGAUAAAUUGACUUUUAGUUUACAAAUUAUUGGAUCAUGAGAGAAAUAGUAAGACCUGCCUGAUGAAGAGACUGUGCUGUGUUUUAGCCAGAGAUUUUGGACUCUGAGCUGGAUGCAUCAAUGACAUGGGAUAUUAGAUUGCCUUCUUCCAGGAAGGGUAUAAAGGUAUUCUAUGGUGGGAAGAAGCAUGUUUUUAUAUAUUUGGUGGCUACAGGAUGGAAUGUGGACUGCUAGCACUCCACAAAAAUCCAUUCUCCCCUACUAUAAUAACAAAAUCACAGCCUAGCAACUUAGUUGACCAUGUUUUACCAAAUAUUUUGCCUUGGCCUAAGGAGGAUACUCAGCUUUCCAGCCUGAAAUAUCUGCGUCCUCACAACCCUAUCAUUAAGCAAAUGCCGUCUAUUUUUAUGGUGUA